UNGGAGAGGAAAGUGGAAUUCCUAGUGUAGCGGUGAAAUGCGUAGAUAUUAGGAAGAACACCAGUGGCGAAGGCGACUUUCUGGACGAAAACUGACGCUGAGGCGCGAAAGCCAGGGGAGCGAACGGGAUUAGAUACCCCGGUAGUCCUGGCCGUAAACGAUGGGUACUAGGUGUAGGAGGUAUCGACCCCUUCUGUGCCGGAGUUAACGCAAUAAGUACCCCGCCUGGGGAGUACGACCGCAAGGUUGAAACUCAAAGGAAUUGGCGGGGGCCCGCACAAGCGGUGGAGUAUGUGGUUUAAUUCGACGCAACGCGAAGAACCUUACCAGGUCUUGACAUUGAUGGACAGAACCAGAGAUGGUUCCUCUUCUUCGGAAGCCAGAAAACAGGUGGUGCACGGUUGUCGUCAGCUCGUGUCGUGAGAUGUUGGGUUAAGUCCCGCAACGAGCGCAAUCCCUAUCUUAUGUUGCCAGCACUUUGGGUGGGGACUCAUGAGAGACUGCCGCAGACAAUGCGGAGGAAGGCGGGGAUGACGUCAAAUCAUCAUGCCCCUUAUGACCUGGGCUACACACGUACUACAAUGGGAGUUAAUAGACGGAAGCGAGAUCGCGAGAUGGAGCAAACCCGAGAAACACUCUCUCAGUUCGGAUCGUAGGCUGCAACUCGCCUACGUGAAGUCGGAAUCGCUAGUAAUCGCAGGUCAGCAUACUGCGGUGAAUACGUUCCCGGGCCUUGUACACACCGCCCGUCACACCACGAAAGUCGGAAGUGCCCAAAGCCGGUGGGGUAACCUUCGGGAGCCAGCCGUC
rnacentral:rRNA from 1 species